rnacentral:rRNA from 1 species
AGUGAACGCUGGCGGUAGGCCUAACACAUGCAAGUCGAACGGCAGCACAGUAAGAGCUUGCUCUUACGGGUGGCGAGUGGCGGACGGGUGAGGAAUACAUCGGAAUCUACUUUUUCGUGGGGGAUAACGUAGGGAAACUUACACUAAUACCGCAUACGACCUACGGGUGAAAGCAGGGGAUCUUCGGAGCUUGCGCGAGUGAAUGAGCCGAUGUCGGAUUCGCUAGUUGGCGGGGUAGAGGCACACCAAGGCGACGAUCCGUAGCUGGUCUGAGAGGAUGAUCAGACACACUGGAACUGAGACACGGUCGAGACUCCUACGGGAGGCAGCAGUGGGGAAUAUUAGACAAUGGGCGCAAGCCUGAUCCAGCCAUACCGCGUGGGUGAAGAAGGCGUUCGGGUGGGAAAGCCCUUUUGUUGGGAAAGAAAAGCAGCAGUUUAAUACCCCGCGGUACUGACGGUACCCAAAGAAUAAGCACCGGCUAACUUCGUG